rnacentral:lncRNA from 1 species
UGAAGAAGAACCAUCUGAUGAGCGUACUGAAGGUAUGCAUCCUCAUGGAGAAUUUGAUUCUUGCCCAAAUAAUGGUGUUCCUGCAAAGCCAGGAGAGAACUUUAUUGAAAAUUUGAAGAAUCCUGCAAGAAUGCUUCCUCAGCCAUUCAAACCACCAAUCCUUGAACAAAACACCUUGUUCUUUUUACCACCAACAAAUG